AGCUCCAGUAGUGUAUAUUAAUGUUGUUGCAGUUAAAAAGCUCGUAGUCGGAUGGUAGGCGUCGCUAUGUUGUGCGGAGUGUGAAAGCAUUGUGUGGGAUGUAGUGGGGCCCAACGAGGUGAGGAUGGAAGUAUGCCUAUUUAUUUAGGUGUAUUGUAAAGGGCGCGUGGGGGUCCACGCGGCUGUCCAUUUCACCGGGUUACCUUGAAUAAAAUAGAGCGUUCAAAGCAAUCUAUAUAGAUAUUGAAUAAUAGAGCAUGGGACAACGGAAUAGGCUUUGCCCUGUAUGGAGCGGGGUGGAGAAUGAUGAAUAGGGAUGACUGGGGACAUUCGUAUUGGAAGGCUAGAGGUGAAAUUCAGUGAUUCUUUCAAGACGAACCUACGCGAAAGCACUUGUCAA
rnacentral:rRNA from 1 species